UGCGCAGGCGGUUCGUUGUGUCUGUGGUGAAAGCCCCGGGCUUAACCUGGGAACGGCCAUGGAAACUGGCGAGCUGGAGUGUGGCAGAGGAGGGUGGAAUUCCGCGUGUAGCAGUGAAAUGCGUAGAGAUGCGGAGGAACACCGAUGGCGAAGGCAGCCCUCUGGGCUAACACUGACGCUCAGGCACGAAAGCGUGGGGAGCAAACA
rnacentral:rRNA from 1 species